rfam:Desulfuromonadales bacterium C00003068 5datasets_contig_409489, whole genome shotgun sequence.
GAUGGCUGCUAGGGGAGUGAAGCACUGAGAGCUCUAAUUGAUAGAGCGACCCUUGGAACCUGAUCCGGAUGAUGCCGGCGUAGGGAAGCGACCACACAAACAC